rnacentral:snRNA from 1 species
GGAUAUGAGGGUGAUCUGGCUGUGGCAUUUGUCACCCCAUUUAUCACCAAAGUUGAUUGGCUGAUCUGGCUGGCUAGGUGGGUGUCCCCUUCCUCCCUCACCGUUCCAUGUGCAUCCCUCCCAAAGCUGUACACUCUGUCAAAGAGGACUGCCUUCCCCGAAAAGACCAGUCUUCGGUCAAGGGUUAUACCAGUAGCUGCGCUCCCCUGCUAUAACCUCCAACCAAGCUCUCAAGGUCCACUAUAGGAGGACGUAGGGUAGUCAAGCUUCCAGACUCCAGACACAUCCACAUGAGGCGCUGCAUGUGGCAGUCUGCCUUUCUUU